rnacentral:rRNA from 1 species
UGAGUAACCUGCCCUUAACUCUGGGAUAAGCCUGGGAAACUGGGUCUAAUACCGGAUAUGACUCCUCAUCGCAUGGUGGGGGGUGGAAAGCUUUAUUGUGGUUUUGGAUGGACUCGCGGCCUAUCAGCUUGUUGGUGAGGUAAUGGCUCACCAAGGCGACGACGGGUAGCCGGCUGAGAGGGUGACCGGCCACACUGGGACUGAGACACGGCCCAGACUCCUACGGGAGGCAG